rnacentral:rRNA from 2 species
CUGCGAAUGGCUCAUUAAAUCAGUUAUCGUUUAUUUGAUAAUACCUACUACUUGGAUAACCGUGGUAAUUCUAGAGCUAAUACAUGCUGAAAAUCCCGACGGAAGGGAUGUGUUUAUUAGAUAAAAAACCAAUGCCCUUCGGGGCUCUUUGGUGAUUCAUGAUAACUUUACGGAUCGCAUAGCCUUGCGCUGGCGACGGUUCAUUCAAAUUUCUGCCCUAUCAACUUUCGAUGGUAAGGUAUUGGCUUACCAUGGUUUCAACGGGUAACGGGGAAUUAGGGUUCGAUUCCGGAGAGGGAGCCUGAGAAACGGCUACCACAUCCAAGGAAGGCAGCAGGCGCGCAAAUUACCCAAUCCCGACACGGGGAGGUAGUGACAAUAAAUACUGAUACAGGGCUCUUUUGGGUCUUGUAAUUGGAAUGAGUACAAUUUAAACCUCUUAACGAGGAACAAUUGGAGGGCAAGUCUGGU